CUCGCAAAACGCCCGCGGGAGUUGCGCGAGCGGCAGCUGAGGCAGCGCAAGCCGGACCUUCGCGCGCUUCAUACCGGCCUUCCCCGCGUUUCUGCAGCAAAAUUAAAAUGUUUCACGGCGUUCAUAGAUAAGACCAAGCUUUUUAAACAACGAAAGAUACUGUUUAAAGUCUCUCCUCUCAUGGGACUAGACUGGCUAGCUAAUUUUAGUCAUAUAGGGCAUAACGAAAUGCCUUGUCGACAAACAAAUGUAGUGAAAUGUUAUGAAGACAAUGAUUGACGCUUUGUUUUCAAGAGAAAACUGUAUGCUACCACAGUGGACAGCAACUCACUGGCAAUGUACAAGGGCAGAAGUGGGGACAGAGAUGACCUUAGCUGGCCAGGCCCAUAGAAAGGGGACACGGCAUCUGUUUGGAAAUCAUCUGCAUGAGAAAGUGGCUUCACAUCACCUGCCAUACAAGCUAGUAAAUACUGUCCCGAGCACGAACAUUGGACAACAUCAGCCGGCUAAUGAAGAGCAAGGGAAAUUCAAUAAAACUCCUCCACCAUACAAAUAAAGCCAUACAUUCCCCUGGACCUGGGAGUGAAACCAAUGUGAGGAAAAAUGACUGCAGCACCAGGAUACGGCACAAAGGAAGCGAAAGAGGCUGAAGGAGGAGAGCGGGCGAGGGAGAGGAAACUGAAAACCAGGCCUGUGUGUCUCUUAUAAAACGGAAGGGAACAUAUUGCUCCAAUGCUUUGCCCAUGUCUGCUUUGCAGUUGGAGCUCAUCAGCCAGACAGGACAGACCUCAAGUAAAUCAGUGCCUGGGUUCUAGGCCCGAUUUCCCCUGGGGUCUCCAGCUUAGGCCCACUCAGAUCAACCCCCUCGCCCCGCUUUCAGAUGGGAAAUCCAAGGAACUCGCCGAAUGUCCUGAGCGGCAAUUGUGUUGGAGGGAAUUAGCACAAUGCUGACUGGCCAAACAACUAGGCUGUCCAGCUACAUUAGAACAGGACCCCACAAAGAGCCUGUGAGAUGCCCACCAUUGUGGAUGAUG